AUUGAACGCUGGCGGCAUGCCUUACACAUGCAAGUCGAACGGUAACAGGUCUUCGGAUGCUGACGAGUGGCGAACGGGUGAGUAAUACAUCGGAACGUGCCCGAUCGUGGGGGAUAACGGAGCGAAAGCUUUGCUAAUACCGCAUACGAUCUACGGAUGAAAGCAGGGGACCGCAAGGCCUUGCGCGGACGGAGAGGACGAUGGCAGAUUAGUGAGUUGGUGGGAUAAAAGCUUACCAACCCGACGAUCUGUAGCUGGUCUGAGAGGACGGCCAGCCACACUGGGACUGAGACACGGCCCAGACUCCUACGGGAGGCAGCAGUGGGGAAUUUUGGACAAUGGGCGCAAGCCUGAUCCAGCCAUGCCGCGUGCAGGAUGAAGGCCUUCGGGUUGUAAACUGCUUUUGUACGGAACGAAAAGACUCUGGUUAAUACCUGGGGUCCAUGACGGUACCGUAAGAAUAAGCACCGGCUAACUACGUGCCAGCAGCCGCCGUAAUAC
rnacentral:rRNA from 1 species